rnacentral:lncRNA from 1 species
AAUACCCUAUAAGAUGGCUGUGUAUUUUGACGACAAAACCGGUAAAGGUGUGCCUCUCACCCACGCUUUGGCUCUAGAGUUGUUAAAUGAUGGUAACUAGUCCGAAAUAGAAGAUUUAGAUGGCGAAAAUGAUGAUGCUUUUGAGGUUCAAAUAUU